rnacentral:rRNA from 1 species
GAUGAACGCUGGCGGCGUGCUUAACACAUGCAAGUCGAACGGAAAGGCUCCUGCUUGCAGGGGUACUCGAGUGGCGAACGGGUGAGUAACACGUGGGUGAUCUGCCCUGCACUUCGGGAUAAGCCUGGGAAACUGGGUCUAAUACCGGAUAGGACCACAUUUUGGAUGGUGUGGUGGAAAGUUUUUCGGUGUGGGAUGAGCUCGCGGCCUAUCAGCUUGUUGGUGGGGUAAUGGCCUACCAAGGCGUCGACGGGUAGCCGGCCUGAGAGGGUGUACGGCCACAUUGGGACUGAGAUACGGCCCAGACUCCUACGGGAGGCAGCAGUGGGGAAUACUGCACAAUGGGCGCAAGCCUGAUGCAGCGACGCCGCGUGGGGGAUGACGGCCUUCGGGUUGUAAACUCCUUUCGCUAGGGACGAAGCGUUUUUGUGACGGUACCUGGAGAAGAAGCACCGGCUAACUACGUG